AACUGUACACCUUUCGUUGCAGACGAAACGCGAGCAAGUGAGGCCCUGGAUCAAAUGUAAAAGCAAUUAACUCCCUAAUUUAGUUCACAUGAAAAGUGGCAGCCAGGGCCUAAGGCAAUCUAAAUUCCACUGGAAGCCCAUUCCCCCAUGUUUAAUUCGGAAUAGCCAACCGUUAUACCCGUAAUACCCUGUAGCAAGUAACUUGCAAGCGAUGUUUCACCUACAUACCAAAGCACACAGAUAACAUAAACACACCGAACAGAACAGGAAAACAAGGAGGAGCAGAAGGAAAAGGAAUGGUUGCGAUCCUGAUAGAAAACAGAACAUUUAUUUAUAAUGAUGAAAUCAAGAAUUCGAAGAUUACCCAAUCAAGCCCUAAUCUAGAAAAUGACAGUUGAUGCAAAUUUUUGGGAAGUGCAAGAAGGUGGAGCAAGAAAAGAGGUGAGGUGCAAGUCGAGAGGAACCUGCAAUUAUGGG